UCUGCUUUUAGUUCUAAUCAGUGUUCUGCCAGUGACGUGAACUCUGCAUUGGAGUUAAGGGCUGUGAGCAGCAGCCCCAUCACCAGCAGCAUCUGGGAAAUGCAAACACUUGGGCCUCACCCAGAUCUACUGUAUCAGAAACUGUGGGGGUGGGGCCCAGCAACCUGUGGUUUACCAGGUUCACCGGGAGAGUGUUUGGGGGAAGAAUAUUAAUAUACUUCAAAAGUGAGUUUCAGCAAUCAAAACACGAGCCGGCUGGACGGCUGAGUAGCUGACUGGAUAGACAGGCCCCAGCCACUGAACCUAAGAGUGUGGAAGAGAUCAUCUCCUCCCCCAAAGUUCAAACCAUAUCUAUUUUGCACACUGUAAUAUCCCCAGCACCAAGCGCAACCUAUACAACAGGUGCUUAAUAAAU